rnacentral:rRNA from 1 species
UACGAAGGGUGCAAACGUUGCUCGGAAUUAUUGGGCGUAAAGCGCACGUAGGCGGCUUUGCAAGUCCGAUGUGAAUCCCACGGCUCAACCAUGGAAGUGCAUCGGAAACUGCAGAGCUUGAGUACGAAAGAGGAUCGCGGAAUUCCCGGUGUAGAGGUGAAAUUCGUAGAUAGUCGGGAGGAACACCAGUGGCGAAGGCGGCGAUCUGGGUCGAUACGUGACGCUGAG